GAGACAGAGAGAGACAACACAGAAGACACCACGAUCAAUACUUGGAGGAGGUCAUAUGGAAGUCUAUUCGCAGGAGAAUAUUUGAAGUAUUCGAACUAUGGGUGUCAUCGUCCAAGACUGAGUGCCGGGCCCAUUGUGCGGAAGGAGAAUUAAUUCCUGUUCUCUUCGGGGUCUCAGCUGAGGCAGCUCCUCCUCCAGAAACUGGCACUGACCCUUCUUAGCCUCUCUCAUCCUCCCCGGGGCAAGGUGAGGUCUCAGACAGCAGAGGAAGCAGGAAUACGGCUGAACUGUCUUCAACAAAAUCUUUGCCGAUAAGACUUGGGGGAGUUUCCAGACACUUUCCUACGACUGUUCCAGCUGAGAACAUUGGGCUGAGCUCCCGUGACUCAGCCGCGGAAAGCCGGGGCCACUGAAGGUUCCCAGGAAGCCAGGGGGCACGCACGUCUUCCUCCAGCCAGGACAGGAAGUCACAGGCAGCCUCAGCGUCCUCAGAGCCUCCUUGCAGAGGGGACCAGCAGAAGGGUCUGAAGAAUGAACACUGUCCCCGGGGUGAGAGGCCCCGUCUAGAAGCACCAUCCUGUCCCUUUGCCAUGACUUCCGAUCUACAGGAAACCUCAGGCAUGGGCUUAGAGAGCGGGCCCUGGGUCAGAGUCCCAGCAGAGUGACGACCCAGCGAGGCAGCCUCUCCGAGCUUUGGGGUCCUCUCUGCAAAGUGGGGAGGGGAGUGGUACCUCCAUCAGAGGGCUGAUGUGAGAGUGAAAGAAUCAGUCUCCACGUGCUGACCAACGCCCCCCCCCCCCCCCCAGCACCUCCCACCGAGCAGGUGCCUGGCAGUAGCAGCUAUUGUUUUUCCAGCGAAGGAAGGAAAACACUGAGCGAGCUCCCAGCUGGGGUGGCCCCGUGUCCAGCCGAGUCCUCGCGGAGCAGCACGUCCUACAGGAGGCUCGGAGCGCGUGGCCUGAAGGCCGGUCUCUGCAGGAAGGCCUGGGCGCCGGAGCCCAUUGUGUUGCCGCCUGCGUGUUUUGCCUGGGCAAGCUGGAAGGGCAUGACCCCAGGACGUUGUCUCGAGGGGACUGCUCCUCCAGAGGUCAGACUGGGGCUGCUUUCUUACUCACUGUGGGCCUUCACUUUGAGAAACUUCUGGGCACGUUGUAUGAGGGCUCACGAGCUCCACGGCCCCCUCUGCUCCUCCCCUCACCGUUUUUUUUGGCAGAACCUGAGGCAGAUGGAAAAUUCGUGCUCAGGUGAAGAAAGAUGGGUAAUGUCUUAGAUAAUAUCUUUGCUUGUCUGACUUUAAAGUGUGUCAAAGAAAGGCCAAAUGGCCUCAAAUUGGUAAUAAAUGCCUUUUAAGUGUGGCCACAUCCUCUUGCCAAGUCAGCAGGCAUCUAUUAAGCUGUACGUGUUUGAAGAGUGGGGCCCAUGAAGCCCUGUGGACAGAAAGGCCUAGGGAGCUAACGGUGAAGAAACGAAAGCUUCAACAGGAGAGGGGGCGUUCUGAAGAUUAUCAGCCGGCUGCGGGGCCUCAAACCAAACCUCAUCUUUGGCUUAUUCUCUCUCCUCCUCCUCCUCUUUCUACUGGCCACCCUGUGGUGUUGCUGGUGUGGUCCCAGGCAACAUGAGAACCCCAAGAAUUAAGGAGAACACCUUCUGCCUUUCAGGAACUUUCCUUCUGUUCGAGAAGCCAGCAGGCUAAAGGGCCAGCAGAGACUCUUAACAGCACGCCCAGGAGAAAGCCGAGGGCUUCACGCGAGAUGCCCAUGUCCUGGCUCCACAUCCUGGGAAGGCCCACACUCCCCACCUGUGGGACCUGGAACAAGUGAACCGCACCUCCUGGAGCCCAGUUCCUGGUCCAUAGGACUGGCUCUUAGGGCUCCCGUGGAAGCGCUUAGUACAGAGCCUGGUACAUACUAGUGCUCAAUAAAGAGAAGCAAAAAUAAAUCCUGGUCCUACCCAAAGGCCACCUCUCCCUCUUACCCUUCCCCGUGGGUACCCUGUCAUUCGCAGUGUGGAUUUACAUCUGUUUUCACCUUCAGUUCUCAUAAGAGCCUUCGAAUGCAACCUGCGAAGAUUCUGGGUAAAUAAUUCGUUGAAUACGUGGCUACCUGGGGGCGUGAAUAGUAAAACUGAGAGGCACAGAGCACUUACGAUCCGCCAGGGCUGUUGAAGGCCUUUCUCUAUUCCGUGUCACUUACACUAUACACGUGUUCUACCUGCAUGACGACUCCGUGAGCUGGGCACCACCAUCAGCCCCACUUCACAGACACAGAAACUGAGGGCCAGAAGGCAUGAAGUCACUUGCCUGAGGUCAUAUAGGUAGGAUAUAAUUUAGGUGAGCAGGAAGCCAGGGAAGCUGGCUCCGGAGUUUGGGCUCCUACGCAGAACACUGUACUCACUGACUGACUGACUGACUGAAUGAAUGAAUGAAUAAUGAAGGAAUGAACACGGAGGUCAGGUAAGGCUCCAUUUUAUGGAUACUGACGCUGAGGCUGACAGCACAUAACUGACUUGCCCGAGGCCACACAGUUGCCUUAGUGGGGAUGUGGCCUCACAUGGCAGGAGUCCACUUCCUGAAGUUAGGUGCAGCCACGUGACUUGCUUUGUCCAAUGAAAUGUGAGUGGAAGUUGCACAGAGCACUUCCUGAGAGAAGCUUUAAGAACUUGCCACAUUUCUUAGAAGCAUAUGUUGAAAUGAAGCCUCUGUCUGCCUGGGUCACAAGUGCGUACCAGUGACAGCAGUAAGUGAGAAAUACACUUUUAUUGUGUUAAGGCACUGAGAUUGCGGGGAGGGGGGGGCGGGGUGGUUGUUACCACGGCAGAACCUGGCUUCUCUUGAUCAACACAGGUGGAACUAAGCCUGAGAGCUUGGGGGAUGAAGGGCCUCCGGCAACUCUGGUUGCGUUACCUGACCCCAGUCCACCACGCUCCCCCAGGGGGUUUUAUCUGCCGUUGCCUCCCCCACACCCCCAGCCCCAUCUCGGGCUGAAUGAGCGGGAUCAUUUAUGGCAUGAAAGGAGACAGCUGCAGAAUUCCAGCUCCUGACAGAAGGCGGUGGACAGACACUGACAGCUCGGCUCUGUGGUCUGGACGCCACACCCUCCCUCCCACAACGGCUGUCUUGUGUCGGUUUUUCUUGGUGAAGAGCGUCCUGCAUAGAGAGUGAGCUCUUCAGACGUAUUGAGAUUGGCAACAGGAUCUCCUAAAGCAGAAAAUGUAAAGUCGGGUUUAAUUAACCAGAUCUGUAGCUGACUGAUUUUUCUAAAAGGUUGUAAAGAGUUUUAAGAACAAUUAGUCACUUAAGAGGCUCAUCACUUUCUGUUAGGCAGAUACAUUAACAAUAAAACAAUUGAUACUGACAUCAAAAAUCCUCCACUAAUUUUUCAAAACAGUCUUGAUUGGAUGAACCCAACUAGAAUGUUUAAAAAGCAGUUUCAACACGCCGAGAGGACCCCUCCUUAUAUUUAACUACUGAGAGAAGAUUAUACAAAAGAGGACCAGGAUUUUAGAGACUGACUGACGCACACUGAUUUCUUUUUGUCAGAAAUUUUCAGUGACACACACCAAAAACUCAAUAAUGUCUGGGUCUACGCAAACUUUACAUUUGUCCUUACAUUUUUCUGCAUCCUCUAAAGUUUACUUAUGGACCUCACAUUGUUCUUUACGUUUUUCAAAGCUUCUGAAUUUUUGCAUACACUAGUCUUAUAGUCAAAUAGAACAAUCAAGUGUUUUUUUUUAAGUGUCUGGCUAUCUUUGGGGUCACUGCAGGCCAACUUGAAGGUGAACGUGAGCCCCGCUGUGUUGUCUGGUGAGGGCAGAUCGGGAAGCUUACCGUGUGGGGGCUGGAGGAGACCCUGGACCACACCCUGUACAACCGCUCCAUUUCAAAGAUGAGGGAACCACAUCCAGGGAAGGGAUGUGCCCAGAGCCACCGGGCUGUGAGUAGUGAGGCAGAGAAAGGACUCAACCCCAGGUCUGUCUGGGGCCAGAGUUCACACCCCUUCCACUACUCCCCAGUCUGGAGGAGCCUGUGACAUCUCUGGUCUGCAUUGUUGCGCUAGAUGCUCUUCUGAAACGUAGCUGGACACAACUUUAUUCGCCAUGUUCGGACACCGUCUGCCACUUGCACAGCACUUACAGUUGAAACACUUUAAAACGCAUUCUCUCUCCUGAGUUCCUAGCGACUCUGUGGGCUACGGAGGCCAGCAGCACCAAAACUCAGUCCUGCGGUUUUCUCGGCUCCUCUUUCCACAUCAGCACCCUUGUAUAUUCAGGAGGGAAACUGCGGCACCAGCCGUAUCCUGGUGCCUCGUAACUGUGUGCUUCAGGGCAAGUAACUCAAGAGACCCUCAGUUCCCCG
rnacentral:lncRNA from 1 species